GGCUCGGGCGCGGGGCCGGCUGGGGCGGGGCAGCGGCGCGCGUUCCCCGCCGGCCACACCGGCCGCCUUGCGCCCGCCGAGGGGCGUGUGCUCGGGCCCGGAAUCCUUGGGCCCCAUGUUCACGGAGCUGAGGACCAAGCUGAGCCCCCCGCGAGGCCGCGCCAGGGCUGUGCGUGCCGGCUUCGGGGAACGCCGGGAUGUGGACGCCGCUGCCCAUUUGAGCUUCUGCCGAACCCUCCUGGAACACACGGUGUCCGCCGAGAGCAUCCCCUGCCACCUCCCUCAGACACCAGGCACCAGCCUCACGUGGCAUGAUUCCCGUAGCCAGAGGGCCGCCGGUGGCCGGCCAGUCAAGCUCCUGCAGCAGCCGGGCACGGAAGCCCCCCAGGCCCGGCUGUACUCCGACCACUAUGGCCUGUACCACACAAGCCCCUCCCUGGGUGGCCUGACAAGGCCUGUGGUCCUGUGGAGUCAGCAGGACGUGUGCAAGUGGCUCAAGAAGCACUGUCCCCACAACUACCUCGUCUAUGUGGAGGCCUUCUCCCAGCAUGCCAUCACAGGCCGGGCGCUGCUGCGGCUGAACGGGGAGAAGCUGCAGCGGAUGGGGCUGGCGCAGGAGGCCCAGCGGCAAGAGGUGCUGCAGCAGCUGCUGCGUCUGCAGGUGCGAGAGGAGGGGCGGAGCCUGCAGCUGCUCAGCCAAGCCUCCUUCGGAAACACGUCCUAGCCGCUGUGUGAGGCUCGAACCCCAGACCCCAGCACUGUGACCAGAGCCUGUGGCAAGGGCGAUGCAGAGCUGGCCCACAGCCCCUCUCGGACCCCGCCAGAGGCGCCAGGGGCUGAACCCAGCCCAGUGGACAGGAAAAUCCGAAUUCACAGAAGAGACAGUCCUGAGGCUUGCAUCCCCCACACCCACCCACCAGAGACCCAGCCAGCGCCUGAGCCACCACUCCAUGGGCCAGGGGGCCCAUGGUUUGGGCCUGGUGCUGUCUGGAGAAGGACAGAGAGGGUGGUCCUGAUAGCCCCCCACCCUCUGGCUCCUUUGCCUUCCCCCUCCCUCAGGAACUCUGAAAAUCUCGGGGACACAUGAGGCUGAGCCUCCAGCCUCUUCUCUGUGCCCUGAGCUGGCCUCCAGGUGGGAGGCUGGUUGUUGCAGGUCCUGAGUGGAAUUUGGACGACUGGCCUGGUGCCCUCCAUCCUGUAGGCCCAUACAGGAAGCCCCCGUGUCCUGUCUGGCCACCCUGAUUGUCCCAGCCCACCCUGUGCCAUCACAACGUUGUCUUUUCCGGAGGGUCUUUCCUAUCACUGCCCCACCUUCUCCCUCCUUUGUCUUGCCCCCCAUGCCCCCAUGCUCUUGUCUUGUCUUCUUUGUUUUGCGCUUUUUUAUAUUCUGACCAAAAGACCAGAAAUAAACCCGGUUCUCAAGUGCCCCAA